UACAGAGGGUGCAAGCGUUGUUCGGAAUUAUUGGGCGUAAAGCGCGUGUAGGCGGUCUGUUAAGUCUCGUGUGAAAGCCCUGGGCUCAACCCAGGAAGUGCGCGAGAUACUGAUGGACUGGAGUGGCGGAGAGGAUGGCGGAAUACCCGGUGUAGAGGUGAAAUUCGUAGAUAUCGGGUGGAACACCUGUGGCGAAGGCGGCCAUCUGGACGUUCACUGACGCUGAGACGCGAAAGCGUGGGGAGCAAACAGGG
rnacentral:rRNA from 1 species